GAUGAAGAACGCAGCGAAAUGCGAUAAGUAAUGCGAAUUGCAGAAUUUCCGUGAGUCAUCGAAUCUUUGAACGCACAUUGCGCCCUCUGGUAUUCCGGAGGGCAUGCCUGUCCGAGCGUCAUUAUCACCCCUCAAGCCCCGGCUUGGUGUUGGACCUCUGGUCGUGUCCUUGCCGGCACGACCGGUCCCAAAGUGAAUGACGGUGUCCGCGGGACCCUCGGUGCAAUGAGCUCGCUCGUAGCACGCACCGCAGUGGCCUCGGGGACGCGUCCCUCAACCACAAUUUUUCUCAGGUUGACCUCGGAUCAGGUAGGGAUACCCGCUGAACUUAAGCAUAUCAAUAAGCGGAGGA
rnacentral:misc_RNA from 1 species